GAUGAACGCUAGCUACAGGCUUAACACAUGCAAGUCGAGGGGAAACGACAUCGAAAGCUUGCUUUUGAUGGGCGUCGACCGGCGCACGGGUGAGUAACGCGUAUCCAACCUGCCCAUCACUUGGGAAUAACCUUGCGAAAGUAAGACUAAUACCCAAUAACAUCCCACGAAGACAUCUGAAUGGGAUUAAAGAUUUAUCGGUGAUGGAUGGGGAUGCGUCUGAUUAGCUUGUUGGCGGGGUAACGGCCCACCAAGGCAACGAUCAGUAGGGGUUCUGAGAGGAAGGUCCCCCACAUUGGAACUGGGACACGGUCCAAACUCCUACGGGAGGCAGCAGUGAGGAAUAUUGGUCAAUGGGCGAGAGCCUGAACCAGCCAAGUAGCGUGCAGGAUGACGGCCCUAUGGGUUGUAAACUGCUUUUAUAAGGGAAUAAAGUGGGUCUCGUGAGACUUUUUGCAUGUACCUUAUGAAUAAGGACCGGCUAAUUCCGUG
rnacentral:rRNA from 1 species